rnacentral:rRNA from 1 species
CAGGGAAUAUUGCCCAAUGGACGGAAGUCUGAGGCAGCGACGCCGCGUGAGUGAAGAAGGCCUUCGGGUCGUAAAGCUCUUUUGUAGGGGAAGAGGAAGGACGGUACCCUGAGAAAAAGCGUCGGCUAACUACGUGCCAGCAGCCGCGGUAAGACGUAGGACGCGAGCGUUAUCCGGAAUUACUGGGCGUAAAGGGCCAGUAGGCGGCUUGAUAAGUUGUGCGUGAAAGCCUCGUGCUCAACGCGAGGAAGCCGGACAAUACUGUGAAGCUAGAGGGCAUCAGAGGGGAGUGGAAUUCCCGGAGUAGCGGUAAAAUGCGCAGAUAUCGGGAGGAACACCGAUGGCGAAGGCAGCUCCCUGGGGUGUACCUGACGCUGAGGGGCGAAAGCUAGGGGAGCGAACA